GCAAACACAACGACACAACAUCUCCUGGGUAGUGAUUUUAUAAGAACUCCCAGUUAGCAAUGGCGAAGCGCCUCGCCGUCGCGCUCCUGCUGCUGGUCCUGCUCGCGUCCAGCGACGCGGGAGAGCUGAAUGGGAAGCACGGUGCUGGUAGUGCCGUCGGCGAGAUGAAGGCUCCGUUGCCCGACCCCGGGUUGCCGGCACCGGUUGUCGCGGGGGUACUGCCACCGGUUGUCGGGACAGCAUCAUCGGUUAUCGGGGGGGGAGUGCCUGGGGUCACUCCCCUUCCCGUUCGCAAAUCCAGCGCCAACAAGUCUCCAUGAUCAUCUAUGGUUCAUGUGCUAGCUUACAUACGAACUGAAGCUCAACUAGUUGUGGCUUUAGAUCUGCAGCUAUAGCACGUACCGGCCAGAAGAAAAUCACCGGCGUUUCGCUCAAGCGUCUGUGCCAACUACUUACUAUCUUUGUCGUGUGUAUUUCCUUUCAGUCCAGGUAAGUAUGUCUUCCCUACUUCACGACUUCCUUGAUGUGCUACAUGCAUCAACGGAAUAAAUAAAUAAAGGAUUUGUCGGUGUGAUCGCCUUCUUGGAUAGACAUAUCAACAGGUUGCAUAAUCGACCUACUGCUUAAUCAACACUGAUCACCAAAUCAAAAGUUGUGGAAUUCGUUUGUGCUUCAACAUAUGCUGGUAAUAUAUACACAGAUAACAGAACACUAUCAAGGUAACCAAACCAAUAAGAAUAUCGCAACAACAGCAAUCCAGCAGUACAGAUGUAGGGUGUAUGUGCACAGAUCCGAAACAACGAAAACAAGGGGAUCGAAAUCCAUGAUACAGAUGAAGCCUACAACUUUCUAUGCGAUUCCAGAAUGUGUUUUUACAACCUUUCCUGUUCAUCAAUGGCGUAGUCACUCGAUUGAUUGUGGUUCUCUCUGCAUCUCGCCAGCCAGUUUGGGAUCAGGUUAGGUCAUCCUCGUCCAAGGAAUCCCCGUCGUCGCCUCCUACAUCUUUCUUGAUGGCCUGCAGGUCACCUGUUGGUAGCUUCCUUGCGAGCCGAAUUACCUGCAGCGACCAAUCACGUCAGCCCAAGUGAAGACCCAGGCACAAUUGAAGUGAGAUGGAAUGGUCUUGUACUAGUUUGAUAAGAAAAUGAAAUGUAUCCUGUGAUCACUACUGAAGCACACAAGACUGGCACAAUAGAAAUGGUAGAAUCUGAUGAAUACAGUAUUAUAUAUUAAUUAAAAGGAACAUUCGCAAUAGCAUGUCGGCGCUUAGUCCCUUCUGAAUACUUCACCGUGUACUGGUGCUAAGUAUGUCACUUAGGCAAAAAGCAGAUGAGCAAUGUAAUUGUGGAGGAGAGAAGACUUUGGUGUCCUCAGAAAUAAACGAAUCCAGGCACAAGGCCCUGUGUAUAUUUUGACCCCGUUCAUAUCCCCUUGUCCUUGUCCCCUUGCUACCGCUUGAGCUUGCACAAAAGAUCCUACAGCUAACUAAAUGAACCUUAGAGACAACAAACUAGGCACCUAUGAAUUGGGGAGUUCAGUUCCCAGGCCUCCACACACACUAAGCACUUGCUCUAAGCACCUGUGCAUUAGGAGAGGCCUUAGUUAACAAUUCUAAGCACAUGCACCAUCAUAGAUCAUCUCAUAUAAUCGAUAGCCUUUUGACUAAGGAUCUCAAAAG
rnacentral:lncRNA from 1 species